CGUAGGGUGCAAGCGUUAAUCGGAAUUACUGGGCGUAAAGCGUGCGCAGGCGGUUAUGUAAGACAGAUGUGAAAUCCCCGGGCUCAACCUGGGAACUGCAUUUGUGACUGCAUAGCUAGAGUACGGCAGAGGGGGAUGGAAUUCCGCGUGUAGCAGUGAAAUGCGUAGAUAUGCGGAGGAACACCGAUGGCGAAGGCAAUCCCCUGGGCCUGUACUGAACGCUCGAUGACACGAAAGCGUGGGAGCAAACAGGAUUAGAUACCCUGGUAGUCCACGCCCUAAACGAUGUCAACUGGUUGUUGGGUCUUCACUGACUCAGUAACGAAGCUAACGCGUGAAGUUGACCGCCUGGGGAGUACGGCCGCAAGGUUG
rnacentral:rRNA from 1 species